GUCUUCUGAUUCUGCGAACGGCUCCAUAAAACGAUAGCAACGAACCGCUUGAUAAGCCGAAUCAAAGUGGUUGAUAGGUUUAUGGAUAUCUCUGGAAAAUCUAGGGUUAAUACAUGUAACAAACCAGCCAGUGAUCCUGCUGGGCCUCUUCGCGUCUAUGACGUGAACACCCUUCACUCGUAAAGGGAUCACAGAGAAGGUUGGGAGCGUGCAUUACUUAGUUGACAGCCAUUCAAUAUUGAACAAUCGCACGUCGGAACAGGGGGUCCUUCGUUUGGUCGCGAAUCCCCGAGGUGCAAGCGUUCGACUAUCGACCUAUCAACUCGAUUGCAGUGUCACGGACAUGCAAUUGUCGCGACGGGUACGGGGAAUCAGAGUUCGAUUCCGGAGAGUGGGCCUGAGAGAUC
rnacentral:rRNA from 1 species